UGUGUAUCAGCACGUGACGGGGGACAUGCUUGGAGGUCAUGCUAUUAAACUCCUGGGCUGGGGGGAGGAGAAUGGCACUCCCUACUGGCUGGCUGCAAACUCCUGGAACAGUGACUGGGGAGACGAAGGUUUCUUCAAGAUCAAACGUGGAAACGACGAAUGUGGGAUUGAGUCCGAGGUGGUUGCAGGAACCCCACUGAGCUAAACAAAACAAGUCCCGGUGGCAGAUAAUCAACAAAUAAAUCAAACAAGACCACUUUAAAUAUUAAUAGAAUUAAUCUGAUACACAGGGAAUAAAUUAUUGUAUCCUGAGCUUCUUUGUGAAGCAAUAAGAGACCAGAAUACUGUAUGAAUCUGUGAAACUUCAUGAUAUAUAAAUGUAUGUAUGCAUUUCAGAAUAUCAUCCAGGAAAGACUUCAUCAUAAAGAUUUACAUUUAAUAUCAUUCCUUUCACAUAAAGGAGAGAAAUUCCUCAUAAACAAGAGACUAAAGUCAGUAAAAUCACAAUAAAUUCUCAGUUAACUUUA